rnacentral:lncRNA from 1 species
UAACAACUUCCAUCAUAAUCUAAUGCAAUUCUUUUAAGUUCACCAAUCCUACGUGGAUUCUCUCAUCCCUUUUAUAUUUUUCAUUGCUUUCCAACUUUGGUGGUCUAAAAGUGGUAACCAAAUUCAGAUCCAGCUUAAAAUCUUAGCAACUCAUAUUCAUUUCUUCUGUUCUCCUAAAUCCUUAUCAAGCACUAGACAUACUUUCCUGCACUAACUUGGCAUAUAAACUUGCUCAAGUGCUAUUCCGCUUCUUCACUAUAGACCAAUGCCUCCAUGUUAGCUAGUUGUUAAUACUAAUGCCAUCAUCUUUCUCUAAUUUAGAAUGACAAGUAGUAACAGACCCUUUAUUUUUUUUGCUGGGUAUGGACUCUUAUUUGUGGCAUUUGGUUAAAUGUAAGUAUGUUAUUUAGUAUGGUAUCAGAAAGGGAAAACAACACCAAGGGAGACCCAGUAAUCAUCAGCCGAUUCCUGUAUUCUUAUAUUCUGUUGCCAAGAUUUUUUCCAUUUACCAGAUUAUGUGCCAACUUUAUUUAAGAAGUAAUAGAAUAAUGCUUAACGACAUUAUGAACAAUUGAACAAAAAUUGGUUGCUAUUUUGAAAUAUAAUGUUUUGCUUGUUCCUUAUGAGAUAUAAUUGGUCAUAUUAAACUAUAUACGUCGAAGCUGAACCAAAACACCUGAACUUGUUUGAUACUACUUUAUUUAUCAGUUACAAAGCCUAAUGUUGUAAUAAAUAAAAUGAAAGAGUGUAAAUAAGAAGAAAGAAGAGGGAAAUCAGAAGAAAAGAAGAGGAUAAGAUAAUGUAGGAAAGGAGCUGCUAGCAACGAAUCUACAAUGUUAAUGUUUAUAU